rnacentral:rRNA from 1 species
CACWCUAACCCAUGUGACCAUACCAAACUGUUGCCUCGGCGGGGUCACGCCCCGGGCUGCGUCGCAGCCCCGGAACCAGGCGCCCGCCGGAGGGACCAACCAAACUCUUUUCUGUAGUCCCCUCGCGGACGUUAUUUCUUACAGCUCUGAGCAAAAAUUCAAAAUGAAUCAAAACUUUCAACAACGGAUCUCUUGGUUCUGGCAUCGAUGAAGAACGCAGCGAAAUGCGAUAAGUAAUGUGAAUUGCAGAAUUCAGUGAAUCAUCGAAUCUUUGAACGCACAUUGCGCCCGCCAGUAUUCUGGCGGGCAUGCCUGUCCGAGCGUCAUUUCAACCCUCGAACCCCUCCGGGGGGUCGGCGUUGGGGAUCGGGAACCCCUAAGACGGGAUCCCGGCCCCGAAAUACAGUGGCGGUCUCGCCGCAGCCUCUCCUGCGCAGUAGUUUGCACAACUCGCACCGGGAGCGCGGCGCGUCCACGUCCGUAAAACACCCAACUUCUGAAAUGUUGACCUCGGAUCAGGUAGGAAUACCCGCUGAACUUAAGCAUAUCAAUAA